CCGGACGUUGACGCGUUCGAAGCGAUAAUCAGGACAAUAUUUAGGAUGACAACAAUUUCGAAUGCCUCUCUAGAACUUAUUUGAGUAUAUAUAAAUAUGUAAAUGUGCAUGCUAGUUUAUUUAUUCAAUUAUACAAUUGUUGUUAAUUUUAGAUAUUGCAUAGAACGUUUGAUAAAACUGCUAGAUGAAAAACGCACAGACAUGGUG
rnacentral:lncRNA from 1 species